rnacentral:lncRNA from 1 species
CCCUAUAUUCUUUCUCCUCUGCAACAAUUUCUUUCAUGCUCGCACAAUUAUUUACACUAAGUUCUUUGAGAUGAGAACAACGAGUUGCUAUAGAAAGAGGUAAUAGAUACUCCAAUCUUGAACAACUAUUUAGUUCAAUCUUUAUGAGAUUUUCAAAAUUAAGAAUUUCUUGAGGAUCUCUACUCCAUAUCUUUUUCAACUUUGGCAAUUCAUCUAUAGUAAAUUCCUUCAGAUGUGAUGUAACUUCAACAUUGCUAUUUUGAUUGAAAUUCAAUUCAAAUAUCUCUUCCACAAGAUCACAAUAUGUAACCUCCAACAUCUCUAUCAUAUUGUAGGUUUUUUGCAUUGAAGAAGGAAAAACCACCACAAUUUGCUUACAAUUGUUCACUUCCAAUAUCUUCGAUAUUUCAAAUUGAUGGUACCAUAUUGUCUUCAAGUUGUCCAUGUCCUUCAAUAUGAUUUUCUCCAAUUUGAAAAAAUGAUCCUAUGAAUUCAUAAACAAC